GUGGAUUUGAUUGGCUAGUAGCUAGGAAGUGGGCUUUUGCAGAGAUACCCACAGUUGAAUGGGUUUUUUUAAACCAUUGUUGUAGACAAUGAAAAGGUAGUUUGCCCUCUUCAUGUCUAUUUCCCUUCCAGAUAGUUGCAUCCAGAAGACAGCUGUUUUGUCCCACUCUCCUACUUUGCUCCUCUGUUAAAAUAAUAACAGGGGUUGACUUAUGUCCCG
rnacentral:lncRNA from 1 species